UACGAGGGGGGCAAAUGUUGUUCGGAAUCACUGGGCGUAAAGGGAGCGUAGGCGGGUGUUUAAGUUAGGUGUUUAAUCCUGGGGCCCAACCCCAGUCGUGCACCUAAAACUGGACAUCUUGAAUAGGGGAGAGGUCAGUGGAAUUGGAGGUGUAGCGGUGGAAUGCGUAGAGAUCUCCAAGAACACCAGUUGCGAAGGCGGCUGACUGGACCCAUAUUGACGCUGAGGCUCGAAAGUGCGGGGAUCAAACAGG
rnacentral:rRNA from 1 species